CCUACGGGUGGCAGCAGUCAAGAAUCUUCCUCAAUGGCCGAAAGGCUGAAGGAGCAAUGCCGCGUGAUCGAAGAAGCCCCUCGGGGUGUAAAGAUCUUUUCUGAGGGAAGAACCCGUGACGGUACCUCAGGAAUAAGUCACUGCUAACUUCGUGCGAGCAGCAGCGGUAAUACGAAGGGGGCAAGCGUUACCCGGAUUGAUUGGGUGGAAAGCGUCCGCAGGUGGUAUAACAAGUCUUCGGUCAAAUCCUGAAGCUCGACUGCAGGGCUGCCGCAGAAACUAGUAUGCUAGAGGCUGAGAGAGGUAAGCGGAAUUCCCGGUGUAGCAGUGGAAUGCGUUCAUAUCGGUAGGAACACCAAAUGCGAAGGCAGCUUACUGGAACAGACCUGACACUCAGGGACGAAAGCGUGGGGAGCGAAUGGGAUUAGAUACCCCAGUAGUC
rnacentral:rRNA from 1 species